AGCAGCCGCGGUAAUUCCAGCUCCAAUAGCGUAUAUUAAAGUUGUUGCAGUUAAAAAGCUCGUAGUUGAACUUCGGGGUUCCCCCAUUGGUCAGGCUUAACUGUCUGUACUGGUGGGAGGGAUUCUUACCUUCUGAGGAAUCUCCAUGCCAUUAAUUUGGUGUGGUGGGGAAUCAGGACUAUUACUUUGAAAAAAUUAGAGUGUUUAAAGCAGGCUAACGUCUGAAUACAUUAGCAUGGAAUAAUGAAAUAGGACGGCUUGGUUCUAUUUUGUUGGUUUCUAGGAUCACCGUAAUGAUUAAUAGGGAUAGUUGGGGGCAUUAGUAUUCAAUUGUCAGAGGUGAAAUUCUUGGAUUUAUUGAAGACUAACUACUGCGAAAGCAUUUGCCAAGGAUGUUUUCAUUAAUCAAGAACGAAAGUUAGGGGAUCGAAGACGAUCAGAUACCGUCGUAGUCUUAACCAUAAACUAUGCCGACUAGGGAUCGGACGAAGUUAAUUUUUAAAUGACUCGUUCGGCAGCU
rnacentral:rRNA from 1 species